GUGGGGAAUUUUGGACAAUGGGCGCAAGCCUGAUCCAGCAAUGCCGCGUGCAGGAAGAAGGCCUUCGGGUUGUAAACUGCUUUUGUACGGAACGAAAAGGCUCUGGUUAAUACCUGGGGCUCAUGACGGUACCGUAAGAAUAAGCACCGGCUAACUACGUGCCAGCAGCCGCGGUAAUACGUAGGGUGCAAGCGUUAAUCGGAAUUACUGGGCGUAAAGCGUGCGCAGGCGGUUUUGUAAGACAGAGGUGAAAUCCCCGGGCUCAACCUGGGAAUUGCCUUUGUGACUGCAAGGCUGGAGUGCGGCAGAGGGGGAUGGAAUUCCGCGUGUAGCAGUGAAAUGCGUAGAUAUGCGGAGGAACACCGAUGGCGAAGGCAAUCCCCUGGGCCUGCACUGACGCUCAUGCACGAAAGCGUGGGGAGCAAACAGGAUUAGAUACCCCAGUAGUCC
rnacentral:rRNA from 1 species